rnacentral:lncRNA from 1 species
AAAAAAUGUACACCCGGUGAGUCGAAAACCCGAAAGGGCGGAUCGGGCAAAAAAGGGUAUCCUGGUGGAUUGAAAACCCAAAAGGGCGGUCCACGCAAAAGAGGGAAUAAGCGAAUGACUGCGAUCCAAGUUCAUCCGUGUUACAUCGCCGUUUCAUUCAAUCCGGAAAUCUUCGAAGGUUAAAGAUCGACUAAUCAUCCACUUCAGAAAGC